rnacentral:lncRNA from 1 species
CCCGCUUUUUGUGAACGUGAUUGAAAAUGGCGAAAAUGUUUGAGCUGGACGUACUCGGAAUGAUUAAGCAAUGAAACGAAUUCGCUAGCCAUCAGUCUGUUACUGUCUGAUCGGAAAAACCAGAAUUAAGUUUGCAAGUUGUGUGGUAUAAGAGACAGUCUAAAAGAAAUAUGAGCUGGCUAACCAGACGAUAGUUAUAAAGAAGACUUUUAGCUGCUCCUUUCCUCAGGAUGACCUUAUAUGAUGGCACCAGCAAGCACCUUCAUAGAGUCAAGCUGGCUACCAAUACUCUUGUCUAUUGUAUAAGAACAA